AGGAGUGCACUAUUAACGCUGGUCCGCGCUAAUGGGUCAUCCUUGUUUUGUAUUUAAUGAGGAACGAAGAUAAGACGUCGCGUUAGUACUGAUAACGUGUUCUCCGAACGCAGUCUUAUUAUUGUGUUGGAAGGUAAUUUUUCGAAAAAUCUGUGAAGUUCUUUUGUGACUUAGAACGUAAGUAUCAAUUGGAGGUGAUUCUUGGAAAGAAGCACGUAAAUAAGAAGGAAGUUUUGAAGGGGAAAUAGGUUUGAAUAGAUUUAAUUAGGUUCAACAUUUUAUUUUCCACUAUACAGAGUGCUUGGCUCUUUAAGUAGAAUCCUGCAAAUCAGCUCUUAAUUACCCGAUUCAAUUAUUAUCGCCUGAUCCAGUUGUACAAAUUAUAACGCCGACAAAUAUGCUUCGAUCCUUCUUCACAUCAGGGAUAGUUACGAGGAGCGAGAUGCAUAAGCAAAAGCAGAAUUUCAUAUUCAUAGUAUAAAUGUGGUUGGCGAGAAGAAUUGGUCGCAAAUCUUAUGCAAAUUACAUUACGUGCUCGCUUGGCACUGGUUCAACUGAGCAACUGUAAUGCUGAUAAGCCGAUGUCAAACAGCGUGUCAUGGCCGUAUGCACAGGCGUUUCAGCGUAUCCUUUCUCCUUGGCUAUUGCCAGUUGGAAAACGGCGGCGCCGCGUGUCGCUUCAAAAGUUCCGCGGUCUGAGGCGCGAUGGGAAAAUCUAUGGGUGAAAACGCGUGAAGCUGCGAGCUCGUGCAAUCGUCGCGCAAAUCACCGAGAUCGUCGUACCGUAAGCCGGCCUCUUGUGAAACGACGGUAGUAAUAUUUCCCGGUGUUCGUUCCGGGAAGAAUUAACGCCGGCCGAAGAAACUCCAUCGUUCCCGUUCUAGAGUUACCGUGAGUCGCGCUUAUGUGGUUUUCUUCGUUAUAAGUUUAACGUUAUUUGUCGAGACAGAGAGAGAGAGAGAGAAAUGCGGAUUUGCCGGGUUACUCGUAGCUUGAAUAAGUUGCUUGUUGCUUGAGGGAAGAGUGAAAUUAAAAGGAACUCGAUCUUCACGCGAAUUCUCGACGCGAAGGAUAAAGUAGAAAACAAUCGAAUUCUCCUCUUUCUUCUAUUAUUGUUUUUUUUUUAUUUUAGGUCGAAAAUAGAGAACUUUCUUCAGUUCCGUUAGGUUGUUGCAGAGUUAUUAGAGCGUGAGAGAAGAGUCUCAUUCUUUCUUUCGAGUCUUAACUUGAGCGAUGCAAAUACUUUUCAAAUGUAAGCUAGGCAGAAUAGAGAUAUAAAUAGUCGGAAAAACGAGGGCGAUUCGUCUCAGGUCUCGCGAACAGGUGAAACGGUCGACUGUCAACUAAUUCCGCCACGCACGAAGGAAUAUUCAUAGCACCGGGAAUCUACAUCGAACUAUACUUGUUGAAUGAGGAACGUGCGGGCUUUUUCGGACGAAUAAACGUUCCGAUAUCUCUAUUCGCGGGCCGCCGUUCUCGGUAUCUCGUGUUCCAUCUGUCAUAAAAAUGCGAGAGCCGCAUAUGUGGAUUAACGGAAUCGCGAACGGAAACGAAGCGAGCCGAGAUUUUACGCGUAUCUGGCAUGUAAUGAAAACGGAAUAUUCGCUCACAAUAAUGUGAAUCGCGAGAAGCCUCCGUAUAAAUAAGCGAUAAAUUCGUAACGAACGUUUAAUUUUGUCGUCGAGGAUUCUCUUUCGUUGAAUUUACGCUCCUGCUAGCACAUCCUGUGUCUGCCGCGCGAAUUCACGAAUCGGUCAUGAAACCGAUGUUACGAAACCACUGGCAAUUUGUAUAAUUACCGCAACGGUCGCGUAGUCGCGUGUUACCUCGCAAAAGUACUAUUGUCCGCGAUUGAGGUAACGUGGCAGUAUGUUGUAACGGUUAGUCCGUGUUAGCGACGUUUGUCCGUAAUACAAUAUCGUAGUAUAAACAUUAUCGAAUUAUUACGCAGGCCCGCGUGACCUACGAGUUUCGUUGCGCUAUUUAAGAAUCCGACGUUUCAACGUUUUAUCGGCCCGUUCCCUCCCGUUUGACUGUCAUACGUGUUGUUUUUCGAUUAAUUCACCUACACAGCCUCUCUUUUUUUUUCAUUUCGAAGACUGUGAACGCUACUCCGUUGACCAUGAUGCAGAUUAUUCGUACUUUCACUAAAUCGCCUUAGUUGCCACGUAAUACGUUGAGAUGUCCGUACAACUGUACGUCUGAAUGUUGGGUAUGGUUCAGCAGACGCUGCGAUUCGUCACGAUCCGUUAAUUACAGCGCGUUUUGUAAAUUUGCACAGAGAGAGAAAGGGUAAGAUGACGGUAUGUACAUAAGGACUAUAUUUUGUGCAACUAUAAUAUAAUGCGAAAUUGGUGACUUCGAUGCGUGUUCGCGGACGUGGAGGAUCGAUUCGCGGAGCGACUGAUUAACAUCCGGCAAAAUCCAUCAAGACGUUAAUGUACCUACACACAUGCGUCAUUCAGUAUGCUGGUAUGAUAUUCUGCUUUGUCUUUGUCCUAGUUUCAAUAGAAGCUAAUCCAGCUUACAGGCGAGGAUAUAACGUGUUUACGUAGGAUGUGUAAUAAUAGAUAAAACAGUCUGCUCGAGAUCGCGAAAUCUGAACGAAAAUUGGAAGGCGUUAUUUAAAUUUCAUGUAAAUUUAUUAUCACACAGUGUGGAACACAAAUACUUUAUGCAGCUUCAGUCGAUAUUUAUUCCGUCGCUGUCUUCGUACUUUUGCAAUUAUUCAUCGCGUUGUAUAAAUUAUUCCAAACUGGUUUCUAUAAAUGUAGCCUUAAAGAUAAUUAUGCGACGUUGCAAUUAGAGUAUCAUCGCUGGAUUUACUUGCUUAGGUUUAUUUACACUCAAGAUCAUGUGAUCGACUAAUCGACCGAUUCGCCAGGAUAAAUUAAUUAAUACUGUAACUGCUAUUUUUUUUUUUUACUGGCAACUGUACGUAAUGUAAUACUUUUUUCUACACUAAAUUACGUAUACGUCAGAUUAUAAUAUUCGGCAAACUUUCGAGAAAAACACGCGCGUGUGCUUUUCGCGUUCGUUUGUGAGUUAGCGUAAAAGUUGCGCGACUAUGAAAUCCUAGAACUCUAACGAUCAGUUUUGUAGAUUAUAACGUUACGGAGCGAAAAUGGAACAUAAUCACCAUAAGUUACAGAUAGUUGCUUAGCCAGGAACUUGCGUUAUCUGUUGUAAAAUGUACAUCCGGAUUUCUCGAGUGCAAUUGAAACAUAAUGAAUGCGUCCGCGUGUCUGGGAUUACGUCAAAUUUCCGGCGACGUUGACUCUAUUUCUGUUUCAUUCGACAAAUUAUUCUGUUCUUGCCGUACACGAUACGCGAGAUAAUUGCGCAAAAGAUGACAGGCUUGCGUCAAAGUAGUAGACGCCUUGUGAUGAAUUCGUCUUUGUUGAACGUCUAAGUCAAACUCUCUCUCUCUCUCUCUCUCUUUUUCUCUACAGCCACACCUGAUAAGAAAGAAAGAUUUCUUUGACUUCAAUAUCCUUACUUAUUUAAUUUGGAUUUAUUUGACUCAAACAACAUAAUUUUUUUUUAUCACAAAUAUUUUAUAUCACAAUUUUAUAUCACAAAUAUUUUAUUUCAUCAGAUUAAAUCACGUUUGGUAGAAAAAAACAAACAAACAAACAAAACACUAUUUGAACGUGAUUUAAACGAAAUAACUUUCAACCAAAUAAUACAUUAUUUGUCUAUUAAUUACGCGAAAUUGUGCUGGCUUUAUUCACGUCGUUUGCAUCAUCGGUGAUAGUAUGAUAGUUUACAUGACCGGUGAUACUGUUUCAUCGCGGCGUUAACGCUCAUCGUGUGAACAACGACGUUUCUCGUGAUGCGAGUGUACGCGAGGCUGCGGAAUAUCGGUCAAACGCCCGUUGAAUGUUAUCGAAAGUGAGAGCUUCCACGAGAAGGAUGGCGGUGAGACAUUAUGCGCAUCAGUAUACGGUGCGGCUAACGGAGAAGAAAAUCACCGACGGGAAUGUCAGUAGCGAGAGUAGCGACGUAGACGACUACUAUCCGUUGAUCCAUCAUAGCGUGAACGGCGCGACGCUUGACAGGAAUGCACGUAGGAGGAUAAUGGAAGCCGGCUGGAACGAGGUGGUAAGACGUUACGUCUGUACCUCCUUUACAACCCGAGUGAGGGAAACGUUUAAAUUAAGAAUCGAUUGACAUUCGAUCUCGCGCCACCUUUGACCGCGUCAAUAUGUAUAAAGUACCAAAAAAAGUGACGUCUCUCGUAUUAUUAUCGUAUUUACUCAACGAGCGUUGCAACUGAUCGCCACGAUUAUUCUACAAUAUUUGACAAUCGACGCGGAGAUAUCGAAUGUUAAUGCACUGGGUGCGGUUAGAGUGGAUAAAUUUAACUCGUGUUCCGCUAAUUAUAUGUCAUGUUUUUUUUAAUUUUUUUUGCAAUAUUAUAUCGACUCUUUUGCGUAAUAUCCUGUUACAUCGUAUGUAUAAUAAAGUUAUAAAAGAUCUUCCUAUUAUGUAA